GUUGAACUGAGAUCUGAGUCCCCUCCCCAGUACAUCCCUCCCGCCCCUUCCCAGAGACUGAGCUUUUUGUUCUGCAUAUAAUGUUUUCAUUAGGAAACUGGGCGCAACCAAGUCAACCAGGAAAGGAUUAGAAAGCAGGAGAGCGAACGCAAGGGGCAAAGAGAGAGAGAGGGGAAGAGUUGUGGAGGAGAAAAAGUCUUUUUGUUUCCAGUCUGAUUCUGAAUUAGAGGAGAUUUGUUGUGUGUGUGUGUGUCUCUCUCUCUCUCUCUCUCAUUCUCCCACCCUGUCUUUUCCCCGUACACUCUUCACUCUUCGUCACCAGCUGCUCGCCAGGUUUCACCAUGACCUGCCCCUCCGCCUCCUCCGUUGGACUCAUCUUCCUUCUGAUUGGUUGCACUGCAGCAGGACCUGAGCCCCGAGCGGUGCGUUCGAGUGCCUGUCAAGAGCACACAAACCUCCACAACCGCCUGGAUGUAGUGGAGAAGAAAGUGGAGGACACAGUGCAGAAUUUGGAGGUAGAGUUGGCUGCUCUUCUGGAUGCCAUUGAGGCCCCGAAGUGGCGCCCCCUGUUGGACAACACAGGAAAGCCAACCGUGGAUAUCCUGGAAGACCCGGAGCAGAGGGGCCAGUCUUAAACUCACCAGAAAUCCACGGAGGAGGGACUCAAGAAGACUCUUGGACUUUGAAGGCUUAAAUCUGUUCCUUUUUACUUUUUUAAUGUGUGUAUGCAUACAUUGUUUCCUUUAUAUCAAAAUGAAGUUUUUGUCUUAAAGAGGAGGCACAAGGCCAAAGCCAGUCUGCAUUAUUUACUCUUACUAAUCCUGUGACAGCCUCAUCUCUUUCCCACUCACUUAUUCUUCCCCCUCGCAGUCAACAGAGGCACAGCUCAUGUUUACAAUGCUAUUCACAGAGAAGAAUUCACUUUAGAUAUCUCUGCUCAGGCAGUUCAUACCCCUGCUCUCCGUCGCCCUCUACUGUCUGCAGACAAAAGAUGCCUUAGAUGCUGUAUUUUUAGUAGAAAUGACAAAAGACGCAGAUUACUGGAAGGAGAUUUAUUUCUUUAUCAAAGCAGUUAAAGCAGCAUUUUUUUAAACACACGGAGCAGUUUCAGUUGGUACAGUAACAAGGCUUUUCACUGACUCCCCGUAAAAAUCCUGCAGCACAAGAACAUUAUGCAAAAUAGGAUCACAAGGAGGAAAAAGAGUGGCAUUAAAUCACAUGUUUCUUCUUCUUGAGUUUGUUUUCUCAACAGGGCACUGAGUUUCAAACUGUAUCCACAGAGUUAAGACAUCUACAGUAUGGUACGCCGCGAGGGCAUCCAUCGGAAAACGUUUGAAUAGGAGACAUGCUGUUGCUGGUCAAACACUAGCACAAUGCCUUUUUUUUUUUAAACACCUAAAGGCAUCCAAGAACAUUAACACAUAAAGAAACAUGUCGGGAGGGUUUGCAAGCACGGUCCAAUUAGGAAUGAUCACCGAUAUUGAAGAACAAGUGCCGAAAACUGUAGAUUAGUAUUGUAACUCUGAGAGAAGCUACACUUAAAUUAACUGUCCAAAAAAAAAACUGUCAUUAUCCAUUUACAGAUGAUUAACAUAAAUUACACAUCCACUUCAGGCCUGUGUUGAUUCUGAUGGUGUGGUUUUAAUGAGAAAUAACCAAGCUUUCUUAUCCACAAAUGGAGACAUUCAGUGUUUUAAUAAUGCAGCAAAUUCUGUGCUGGGGUGAAGUGAAAACCUGCCCCAGUUCUGAAUAUUCUUCCUUUGCUGCACAGACAAUAACGCAACACUUAACCCACAACAGAGCGUCACACACAACGGCUGACCUCAUUCCACUCAUCCAGCAAGGGUACGAGCCUGUAUACUUGACCAAAGCGUUAAGACAAUCUACGGGAUGCCAAAAGGUACUGCAUAUCAUCUAAAAAUAUCAUGCCAUCAACACUGGAAUUAUAUGAUUUUGUACAGUUUUAAAGUUCACAAAACUCACUGUCCAGAAACAUUUACGCAGGCCAGUUAUACUCUGGUUUGGACUUGUGUCUAUAAUCAGGUGAGCACUGAGGUAUGCUAUUACCAAAAGCUUGUACAUGCACAAAUCAGCCAGUAAGGCUCAAGCUCCAGGCUUUGGCAAAAAACAAGCUUAUACUGUAAAGGUACAUGCAAAAGAAGCACAGGGCUUGAGACUAUUAAAUUCAUCAUAUAUUUCAGCGAACUUGGAAGAUGCCACUUUAUAUCCCUUUAAAGAAGCUUCUUAAUCUAAUCAUAAUGUAUAGUGUUUAAAGACGUAGUUCAACAUUUUGGGAAAUACUCUAAUUUGCUUUCUUUGUGAGAGUGAGAUGAGAAAAUUUACACCGUUCUCGAGAGCUGAGAGACUCUCCAGGGACCGCUACAACAUACAAGAUAACUCGUCUGUAGAGUACAGUAAUAAUAUUACUCUCCCUAGUAACUAGUUGUGUAAGUAAUUAUUAAAACAUUUCAGUAAUACCAUAACAGUUAACAACCAAUGAUUGAUGAUUUUUUGAGUAAUCUCUUAGUGUGUUUAAUGCCAGCCAACCACCAUUGGUUGUAGGAAUUUUUAUUAAGUUAAUCAAUUACUCAUUGACAAAGUAGUUCCCUAAUUACUCAACAGAAAGUAAUUAUUACAUUACUCAUUACUGACUUCAAGCUCCAGUAAGUCUGUUUAAGUUUUGGAGCUGUUAAUGGUUUACUGAUCAUGACCAGCUAGCUUAACGUUAGACGUAGUGACUGCCUGCAGGACAGAUUCCUGACUGACACUUUGCUCUGAAAUGACUCUUAUACAGAAGUUUGUUGUCAUCUUACUUAAAUAACGAUGUAUUGGAUCUUUCUCUUUUUUCAUGAUCAGAUCUUUGACCAGUCUUUUACAGGGCACCCCUCAUAUUUAAGACUGAAGAACAAACUAGAACAGUAAUACAGGAAUCAUAGAGUAAUUUAUGUGGUACGGUUUAAUAAUACGUGUAGCCCAGCGACGCCUCUGGCUGUCUGCUAUGUGACCAGCGCCUUGCAGUCCCUCGAGAGUCUCCUGGAACAGUUCAGUAUCCACCCACCACACCUCGAACACAAAAAAACAACAACUAUAAUUUGUGGUUUUAUAGCAAAUAACCAGGUGUGAGCAUGUCUCAACAAACCAUAUUUUCUCCAUCCAUGACGGACAUCUGUGCAGCAAUUCACACAGUGUCUGGCUGUUGUUUGGCAAAUAGAGCAUGAAGUACUGUUUGUUUUAAACUAGAUACAACAUAAUAAUUAGUGACCUUUAGGGGGGUCGUGGUAAGAUUUGAAUUACUUAACGCACACAUAAGGGAGAUAUCGACCUUCUCAUUUAAUUCUAGUAAAGACCGCAAAUUGACGUAUUUCCCAAAAUGUCCAACAAUUACUUUAAGGUCCCCUCCCUUACCUGAAAUAGAUACUUUAUACAUAAUCACAAUAUGAUUGUAUAAAUGAUAGUAUUUUCACUUGCAGAAGGAACACUGACUUUAUGUUAUACUGGGAAAAAAGAGACAUACAUUCACACACUCAAAGUUCCUUAGAAAUGGUUAUGCAAAUGGUAGAAAAGCUUUGGCAUAUCUUGCCUACAAGUUGUGCCUGCACACUUGGAAAGAAGAGCGGAACGAAGCAGUAUGAAGCUUCACACAGCUCUUCCUUUAGUUUAUAUGUCGAGUUCGCAGUCCCACAUAAAACUGUGGUGAGUUUAAUUACCUACACUGUAUGCUAUUUACAUGGUUUUUCAUUUAAUUAGGCCUUAGGGUUUUAAGGUGGACCAUUGCUACAUGUUCUCAGGUGUUCAGACUGAGAUUACUGGUGCCACCCUAAAAUGUACCACUAUCCCUAUGACAAUAAUAGACUAGCUCAUCUAUACGAUUUGAAGUACCAACAGGGCACAGCUACACGUUUAAGUACAGCCCAAAAACAAGCUCUACAGGGGGAUGAGAUUUAUACUAACCGAGCACUUAAAGAGAUGAUGGUGUCUAGUGAAGUAAACAGAGCUUUCUAAAAGAUGUGAUUGGUGUUUAUUCCCCAGAGCGGAGUUUCUGAACGCUCUCUGAGAGUCAGACCAUGGUGCAGGGCUAAAAUACUAAAUCUUGUUAAUCAUUACAGACACAGUGACAAGCAAACAUCUUUCAUUCUGAUUGCUGUACUGACUCCCCAUAAAUUACAGUACCUUAUCAUCCUAAGGAAAAAAAAAAAAGAAUAGUUGGCUACACUUUAAGAUAGCAGUUUGACUUAUAAUGGCUACGAUGUGAUUAACAAAUACUGAUUAUCAUCAACAGGCACCACUUUUAAACAGGUUCACAACACGAGAACGGCCACACUUUUCUCGGCCGACUGCAAGAAGCAGCCAUGAACACGCACUGUACACGUGUCUCGGAAAGGUGUUGCAACAGGAGGAAGGUGCUCCGGGAGAAAAUUGCUCCAAAUUUAGGGGCACAUACGUAAGAUGAAAGAGACUGAGGGGAAGAGGGAACUGAAGACACAGGCAAUAACAUAAACGGAGAGCCCGCGUGUGCUGAAUAAUUCAGUCGCCCCCGUCAGAUUUUGGAACAGGAAGGCUGAGAAUGCGUCUCCACCAAAAAAAAAAACCCCACCAACCCUCCAGAAACCGUGGACUGCUAUUGCUCCGGAUGUCGUCAUGCUUUCUGCUCGUGAACACAUCCUAGUAAGUGAUACCUUAUUUUGUCAUGCUAUACUGUAACAUUGCAUAGAAGUUAGAGCUUACUCUAGGGCAGAUGGGUACAGUANNNNNNNNNNNNNNNNNNNNUACCGGAAGGAUGCUACAGAGGAAAAAAAUAAAAAAUAGGAGGAAGAGGAGGAAAAAAUAGAGGGAGCC
rnacentral:lncRNA from 15 species